UGUGUAUGUUUCAUGUCUUUUUUUUGCCCCUUUUUUUCCCCUUUAGGUUGUGUGGCCCAGGACUUGGCCAUACCAGGUAUAUAUGUUAUUGUUAAGGUCUUUGUGUAUAUGUCUUGUCCUUUUUUUGUCCUUAUUUUUUUUCCUUUAGGUUGUGCGGCCCAGGACUUGGCCAUACCAGGUAUAUAUGUUAUUGUUAAGGUCUUUGUGUAUAUGUCUUGUCCUUUUUUUUGUCCUUAUUUUUUUUCCUUUAGGUUGUGCGACCCAGGACUUGGCCAUACCAGGUAUAUAUGUUAUUGUUAAGGUCUUUGUGUAUAUGUCUUGUCCUUUUUUUGUCCUUAUUUUUUUUCCUUUAGGUUGUGCGACCCAGGACUUGGCCAUACCAGGUAUAUAUGUUAUUGUUAAGGUCUUUGUGUAUAUGUCUUGUCUUUUUGUCUUUUUUUGUCCUUAUUUUUUUUCCUUUAGGUUGUGCGGCCCAGGACUUGGCCAUACCAGGUAUAUAUGUUAUUGUUAAGGUCUUUGUGUAAGUCUCAUGUCCUUUUUUUGCCCCUAUUUUUUUCCUUUAGGUUGUGCAGCCCAGGACUUGGCCAUACCAGGUAUAUAUGUUAUUGUUAAGGUCUUUGUGCAUUUCUCAUGUCUUUUUGCCCCUAUUUUUUUUUCUCUUUAGGUUGUGCAGCCCAGGACUUGGCCAUACCAGGUAUAUAUGUUAUUGUUAAGGUCUUCUUUGUGUAUAUGUCUUGUCCUUUUUUUGUCCUUUUUUUUUCCUUUAGGUUGUGCGGCCCAGGACUUGGCCAUACCAGGUAUAUAUGUUAUUGUUAAGGUCUUGUGUAUAUGUCUUGUCCUUUUUUUGUCCUUAUUUUUUUUCCUUUAGGUUGUGCGGCCCAGGACUUGGCCAUACCAGGUAUAUAUGUUAUUGUUAAGGUCUUUGUGUAUAUGUCUUGUCCUUUUUUUGUCCUUAUUUUUUUCCUUUAGGUUGUGCGACCCAGGACUUGGCCAUACCAGGUAUAUAUGUUAUUGUUAAGGUUUUUGUGUAUAUGUCUUGUCCUUUUUUUUCCUUUAGGUUGUGCGGCCCAGGACUUGGCCAUACCAGGUAUAUAUGUUAUUGUUAAGGUCUUUGUGUAUAUGUCUUGUCCUUUUUUUGUCCUUAUUUUUUUUCCUUUAGGUUGUGCGCCCAGGACUUGGCCAUACCAGGUAUAUAUGUUAUUGUUAAGGUCUUUGUGUAUAUGUUUUUUUGUCCCUUUUUUUUUUUUUUCCUUUAGGUUGUGCGCCCAGGACUUGGCCAUACCAGGUAUAUAUAUGUUAUUGUUAAAGUCUUCUUUGUGUAUAUGUCUUGUCCUUUUUUUGUCCUUUUUUUUUUCCUUUAGGUUGUGCGGCCCAGGACUUGGCCAUACCAGGUAUAUAUGUUAUUGUUAAGGUCUUUGUGUAUAUGUCUUGUCCUUUUUUUUGUCCUUAUUUUUUUUCCUUUAGGUUGUGCGGCCCAGGACUUGGCCAUACCAGGUAUAUAUGUUAUUGUUAAGGUCUUUGUGUAAGUCUCAUGUCCUUUUUUUGCCCCUAUUUUUUUCCUUUAGGUUGUGCAGCCCAGGACUUGGCCAUACCAGGUAUAUAUGUUAUUGUUAAGGUCUUUGUGUAUUUCUGUCCUUUUUUUGCCUAUUUUUUUUUCCUUUAGGUUGUGUGCCCAGGACUUGGCCAUACCAGGUAUAUAUGUUAUUGUUAAGGUCUUUGUGCAUUUCUCAUGUCUUUUUGCCCCUAUUUUUUUUUCUUUAGGUUGUGCAGCCCAGGACUUGGCCAUACCAGAUAUAUAUGUUAUUGUUAAGGUCUUUGUGUGUGUCUCAUGUUCUUUUUUUGCCCCUAUUUUUUUCCUUUAGGUUGUGCGGCCCAGGAAUUGGCCAUACCAGGUAUAUGUGUUAUUGUUAAGGUCUUUGUGUAAG
rnacentral:lncRNA from 1 species